rnacentral:misc_RNA from 1 species
UUGAAGACAAGCUUUCAUUGAAAGGACAGUGGCAGCAAGCUCUCUUAGAAGUUCUCCAAUUUGUAGAUAUUUGUUCCAUGGGUAGUUGAGUCCAAAUUUUCCAUGCCAUGGUUCCCACUUUGCAAAAUUUGCCAGUGAGUCAUCUUUUGAUUUUGAGUUCAAGACCAAUUUGCAAGUGCUGAAACUGGCAUCAGACUUGUUCUUUUUCUUCUCAUCAGUUGAAUUGAAG